AUGAACGCUAGCUACAGGCUUAACACAUGCAAGUCGAGGGGCAGCAUGGUCUUAGCUUGCUAAGGCCGAUGGCGACCGGCGCACGGGUGAGUAACACGUAUCCAACCUGCCGUCUACUCUUGGACAGCCUUCUGAAAGGAAGAUUAAUACAAGAUGGCAUCAUGAGUCCGCAUGUUCACAUGAUUAAAGGUAUUCCGGUAGACGAUGGGGAUGCGUUCCAUUAGAUAGUAGGCGGGGUAACGGCCCACCUAGUCUUCGAUGGAUAGGGGUUCUGAGAGGAAGGUCCCCCACAUUGGAACUGAGACACGGUCCAAACUCCUACGGGAGGCAGCAGUGAGGAAUAUUGGUCAAUGGGCGAGAGCCUGAACCAGCCAAGUAGCGUGAAGGAUGACUGCCCUAUGGGUUGUAAACUUCUUUUAUAAAGGAAUAAAGUCGGGUAUGGAUACCCGUUUGCAUGUACUUUAUGAAUAAGGAUCGGCUAACUCCGUGCCAGCAGCCGCGGUAAUACGGAGGAUCCGAGCGUUAUCCGGAUUUAUUGGGUUUAAAGGGAGCGUAGAUGGAUGUUUAAGUCAGUUGUGAAAGUUUGCGGCUCAACCGUAAAAUUGCAGUUGAUACUGGAUAUCUUGAGUGCAGUUGAGGCAGGCGGAAUUCGUGGUGUAGCGGUGAAAUGCUUAGAUAUCACGAAGAACUCCGAUUGCGAAGGCAGCCUGCUAAGCUGCAACUGACAUUGAGGCUCGAAAGUGUGGGUAUCAAACAGGAUUAGAUACCCUGGUAGUCCACACGGUAAACGAUGAAUACUCGCUGUUUGCGAUAUACUGCAAGCGGCCAAGCGAAAGCGUUAAGUAUUCCACCUGGGGAGUACGCCGGCAACGGUGAAACUCAAAGGAAUUGACGGGGGCCCGCACAAGCAGUGGAGUAUGUGGUUUAAUUCGACGCAACGCGAAGAACCUUACCAAGUCUUGACAUCCUGCGACGGUUCUGGAAACAGAACUUUCCUUCGGGACGCAGAGACAGGUGGUGCAUGGUUGUCGUCAGCUCGUGUCGUGAGAUGUUGGGUUAAGUCCCGCAACGAGCGCAACCCUUAUGGUCAGUUACUACGCAAGAGGACUCUGGCCAGACUGCCGUUGACAAAACGGAGGAAGGUGGGGAUGACGUCAAAUCAGCACGGCCCUUACGUCCGGGGCUACACACGUGUUACAAUGGGGGGUACAGAGGGCCGCUACCACGCGAGUGGAUGCCAAUCCCCAAAACCUCUCUCAGUUCGGACUGGAGUCUGCAACCCGACUCCACGAAGCUGGAUUCGCUAGUAAUCGCGCAUCAGCCACGGCGCGGUGAAUACGUUCCCGGGCCUUGUACACACCGCCCGUCAAGCCAUGGGAGCCGGGGGUACCUGAAGUGCGUAACCGCGAGGAGCGCCCUAGGGUAAAACUGGUGACUGGGGCU
rnacentral:rRNA from 1 species